rnacentral:tRNA from 2 species
AGCUCUGUAGUGAUUAACACAUUAAAUUGCAAAUUUAAAAAAGUUCCUUUAUUGGUUCCGGGGCUU